rnacentral:rRNA from 1 species
AAUAGAUACCCAGGUAGUCCACGCCGUAAACGAUGAAUGCUAGGUGUUAGGGGUUUCGAUACCCUUGGUGCCGAAGUUAACACAUUAAGCAUUCCGCCUGGGGAGUACGGUCGCAAGACUGAAACUCAAAGGAAUUGACGGGGACCCGCACAAGCAGUGGAGUAUGUGGUUUAAUUCGAAGCAACGCGAAGAACCUUACCAGGUCUUGACAUCCCUCUGAAUCCUCUAGAGAUAGAGGCGGCCUUCGGGACAGAGGAGACAGGUGGUGCAUGGUUGUCGUCAGCUCGUGUCGUGAGAUGUUGGGUUAAGUCCCGCAACGAGCGCAACCCUUGAUUUUAGUUGCCAGCACAUUAAGAUGGGCACUCUAGAAUGACUGCCGGUGACAAACCGGAGGAAGGCGGGGAUGACGUCAAAUCAUCAUGCCCCUUAUGACCUGGGCUACACACGUACUACAAUGGCCAGUACAACGGGAANCGAAGUUGCGAGAUGGAGCCAAUCCUAUCAAAGCUGGUCUCAGUUCAGAGUU